rnacentral:rRNA from 1 species
GCAAGGAAUAUUGGGCAAUGGGCGAAAGCCUGACCCAGCGACACCGCGUGAGGGAAGAAGGCCUUCGGGUUGUAAACCUCUUUUCUCGGGGAAGAAUAAUGACGGUACCCGGGGAAUAAGCCUCGGCUAACUACGUGCCAGCAGCCGCGGUAAUACGUAGGAGGCGAGCGUUAUCCGGAUUUACUGGGCGUAAAGCGGGCGUAGGUGGCUUAUCAAGUCGGAUGUGAAAUCUCCCGGCUUAACUGGGAGGGUGCAUCCGAAACUGAUGGGCUAGAGUGCACCAGAGGGAGAUGGAAUUCCCGGUGUAGUGGUGAAAUACGUAGAUAUCGGGAAGAACACUAGUGGCGAAAGCGGUCUCCUGGGAUGUAACUGACACUGAGGCCCGAAGGCGUGGGUAGCAAACAGGAUUAGAUACCCUUGUAGUCC